GUCUUUGUAGCUCAGUUGGUUAGAGCGCUGCACCGGAGUCGCAGGGUGGCAGGUUCGAUUCCUGCCAGGGACC
rnacentral:tRNA from 1 species